AGCGAACGCUGGCGGUAGGCCUAACACAUGCAAGUCGAACGGCAGCACAGUAAGUGCUUGCUCUUACGGGUGGCGCGCGGCGGACGGGUGAGGAAUACAUCGGAAUCUACUUUUUCGUGGGGGAUAACGUAGGGAAACUUACGCUAAUAACGCAUACGACCUACGGGUGAAAGCAGGGGAUCUUCGGACCUUUCGCGAUUGAAUGAGCCGAUGUCGGAUUAGCUAGUUGGCGGGGUAAAGGCCCACCAAGGCGGCGAUCCGGAGCUGGUCUGAGAGGAUGAACAGCCACAUUGGAGCUGAGACACAGUACAGACUCCUACGGGGGGCAGCAGUGGGGAAUAUUAGACGAUGGGGGAGAGGCUGAUCCAGCCAUACCGCGUAGGUGAUGAAGGACUUCGGGUUGUAAAGCCCUGUUGUUGGGAGAAAAAAGCAACAGUUUAAUACCCCACGGUUCUGACGGUACCCAGAGAAGAAGCACCGGCUAACUUCGUG
rnacentral:rRNA from 1 species